rnacentral:lncRNA from 1 species
UCAAGCUGCCACAGAUCUUUUUUCGGUGGCCCAUCAAAUUUAUGGGAUCGCCCACGAGCUUCGUAACCGUCUUAAAACGAAUCAACCGAAAUCUUACCGUGAUGCUCUUAUCAACAAACCGCUCGCUAGUGCCACCACUAAACUUAUUAAUAAAUCAAUACAAAAUUAUAGUGCUAACCUCACUAAUAGUGGACAUGCUGUUCUGGUUUACCCCGCUCCCAGUGAGGAGCAUGACCCUGUUGAGACUGACGCUAUUGAGACCAAGAUUAAAAAUAAUAUCAAGCCACAGAAACUUAAAAUUAAUAUUAAAGGAGUUAGAAGAGUGAACAACCAGG